rnacentral:rRNA from 1 species
AACGAACGCUGGCGGCAGGCUUAACACAUGCAAAGUCGAGCGCCCCGCAAGGGGAGCGGCAGACGGGUGAGUAACGCGUGGGAAUCUACCCAUCUCUACGGAAUAACUCAGGGAAACUUGUGCUAAUACCGUAUACGCCCUUCGGGGAAAGAUUUAUCGGAGAUGGAUGAGCCCGCGUUGGAUUAGCUAGUUGGU